ACGCACUCACAGUCUGACCCCCCGAAACUAAGCGAGCUACUCUAAAGCAACUUCACGGAACCAACCCAUCCCUGUAGCAAAAUGGUGGGAAGACUUUAAAGUAGAGGUGACACGCCUACCGAGCCUAGAGAUAGCUGGUUAUUCAAGAAAAGGAUUUAAGUCCAUUUUUAAGUUUUCUUAGUUUAACAAAACAUUUAAUAAACUUAAAAACCAUUCAAACAGGGGACAGCCUGUUUGAAAAAGGGCACAGCCUACAGCUCAGGGUAAUGACCCCCCCCCCCCGGGCCNAANAANCCCNNAAANANCCNUNUUUUUAAAAANGGNCNANCCNCNUNACNAAAANUUNUUNAUUUCCCNANUAANUCAUAACCCCCCCCUGCUACUGAAUAAUCUCAUACCGUAUGAGAAAUAUUAUGCUAGAACUAGUAAUAAGAAGAAGAACUUCUCCAAAAUGCAAACGUAAGCCAAAAUGAACACUCACCGGCACUUACCGCCAUAAACCAAUAGCAUUAGACACUUCAAGAAAACAAUGCUUUGACUAACGUUAACCUUACACUAGGGCAUUCCCGGAAA
rnacentral:rRNA from 1 species